GAUAAACGCUGGCGGCGUGCUUAACACAUGCAAGUCGAACGAAGUUUUUCCUUCGGGAGCAACUUAGCGGCGGACGGGUGAGUAACGCGUGGGUAACCUGCCCUGUACAGGGGGACAACAGCUGUAAACGGCUGCUAAUACCGCAUAAGCCCUUAGCACUGCAUGGUGCAUAGGGAAAAGGAGCAAUCCGGUACAGGAUGGACCCGCGUCUGAUUAGCCAGUUGGCAGGGUAACGGCCUACCAAAGCGACGAUCAGUAGCCGAUCUGAGAGGAUGUACGGCCACAUUGGGACUGAGACACGGCCCAGACUCCUACGGGAGGCAGCAGUGGGGAAUAUUGCACAAUGGAGGAAACUCUGAUGCAGCGACGCCGCGUGAGUGAAGAAGUAUUUCGGUAUGUAAAGCUCUAUCAGCAGGGAAGAAAAUGACGGUACCUGACUAAGAAGCACCGGCUAAAUACGUG
rnacentral:rRNA from 1 species